GGCCUUCCUGAGGUCCGGCCCGCGCCGCCCGCCCCCGAGGGCACCUGCCCAUCGUGCGCCCGGGGCCGCCGGGGAGCGGUCAGGCCGCGGCCGAGACCCUCGCCGCCCGGCUGUCGGCGCCGGUGACCCGCAGACAGACAAAGGCCGUCGGGCGGGUGUGCGGCCCCCUCGUCCUGCGCGCGUGCGGGCGGGGUGGGCGGCGGGGGCGGCCGAGCGGGGCCCCCGCGACCCCGGUGCCCUUUGCGACGAGGCAGCCCUGGCCGCCCAGCCCGUGGGCCGGGCCGCGCGGUGGCCGAGGACAUGUUGCGCAUCCAAGUUCCGGACUGGGUGCCUGGUUAAAGGCGCGACGUGGAGGGGACACGGCGGGCGCUCCUCCUGAGCUCGUCCCCUGGGCCACUCAGAUCCUCCGGGUAGAUUUGGAAAAGACGUCUGGAUCGCCUUAGGCUUCCGUGGAAAGGACACGCACACACACGUGUGUGAUGAGAGGCGGCGUGAAUCCUCAAGUUGGACGUUUGAAAAGACCGUGUCUGCAUUUCUCAGGAACCGUGUGCCCCUGAUUCCAGCCCCCCACCCCCACCCCGGAUUUGGGGCCGUCCAGCCUGGCCUGUGGCCGGUGCGCCAAGGGACCGCCGUGGGCAGGAUCGGGCCAACGCCCCGUGGUGGGCAGCCCGGCUCCCGGGUCUCUGUUUGGCUGGUGUGUCCGUCAGGGAGGGUCAGGAGCACCUCACUCGCCAGCACUACUUGUGGUGGAGCCUUUCACCUGACCCCAGGUGUGUGCUCAGCGCCCUCCUUCCCUCUCGCCACCUGGAGAGGCCUUAUGGGCUGGCAGUGUUGAGAUGGGCCCACACGUGCGGGCAGCUCCUAACUGCUUUUGGUGCCUCGUUACCCUGCACAGUAACCUUGUCACAUGCCGUAUUUCUGUCUACUGUCCUGCUGAGUAAAAUGCACUUUGGAGACAUUUGGAUUCUUCUAUUUAAAUAUUUAUAUGCAGUACUCAGCCGAAUGCAUUCUCAUCAGCGUUUUGGGCCGGGUAAAUGCAAGCUGUUUGCCUUAUUUAUAGAACAAUAGAUUUCGGCAAAAGUUUUAACCUACGAUCUAGGAGCUGUGCUGAAAAGCCAGUCUGCUAGUCACCCUUCCACAGGCAUCAGAAAGUAGAUACCCUGAAAUAUUUUGUUCUCUGGUCGUCGUCUUGCCAGAUAGCUCUGCUUUCUGAAGCUGAGUUCAGACGAUCGCGUUGUGGAGCAGUUGUCACCAGCCCAUGUGGGUGCACCUGCUACAGAUCCCGUUGACCGGUCCAGAGGGUCUGUCCUCAGCCUCUCUCCGUGUAUGCGCUAAGAUGGAUGGAUGGUGGCUCUCGCCCUCCUGAGCACAACCAGUCGUCUUCCCUCAGCACUGGGGCCCUUUCAGGCUGCGAGCCACCCGCUGGAGACGUGAAGUGACCUUGCUAGUUUGAGAUGUGGCUGGAAAGGCCUCUAAUUAGGCAUUACUUAAGGAAUUGAGUCCUCAUCUUGGGAAUCAGUAUGUCCUGCGGAGGAAAGGCUGGCCUCCGGCUUGCUGAGCGCCUCAUGGACCAGGAAGGCCCAGUGUUGGCCUG